rnacentral:tRNA from 1 species
AGUAGGGUGCCUGAGUGGCCAAAAGGAACUGUCUGCAAAACAGUAAAAUCAUCGGUUCGAAUCCGAUCCCUACUUCCA